UUCUAGCCCCGAUAGCAGUGGAAAUCCUUUUUCUGGCUUCUUUAGCCAGGAAAGGAUUGAAACGAAUAGCGGGAUUAGCU
rnacentral:sRNA from 2 species